rnacentral:rRNA from 1 species
UACGUAGGGUGCAAGCGUUGUCCGGAAUUAUUGGGCGUAAAGGGCUCGUAGGCGGUUUGUCGCGUCGGGAGUGAAAACCUCGGGCUUAACUCGGGGCUUGCUUUCGAUACGGGCAGACUAGAGGUAUGCAGGGGAGAACGGAAUUCCUGGUGUAGCGGUGAAAUGCGCAGAGUAUCAGGAGGAACACGGUGGCGAAGGCGGUUCUCUGGGCAUGAUCUGACGCUGAGGAGCGAAAGUGUGGGGAGCGAACAGG